rfam:Cavia porcellus supercont2_16 genomic scaffold, whole genome shotgun sequence.
GGGGGUUUAAGCUCAGUGGCACAAGCACCUGCCUGGCAAGCAUGAGGUCAUGAGUUUGAUCCCCAUACCCUCCC